UGGGGAAUAUUGGACAAUGGGCGGAAGCCUGAUCCAGCCAUGCCGCGUGUGUGAAGAAGGCCUUUUGGUUGUAAAGCACUUUAAGCGAGGAGGAGGCUACUUGGAUUAAUACUCUAGGAUAGUGGACGUUACUCGCAGAAUAAGCACCGGCUAACUCUGUGCCAGCAGCCGCGGUAAUACAGAGGGUGCGAGCGUUAAUCGGAUUUACUGGGCGUAAAGCGUGCGUAGGCGGCUUCUUAAGUCGGAUGUGAAAUCCCUGAGCUUAACUUAGGAAUUGCAUUCGAUACUGGGAAGCUAGAGUAUGGGAGAGGAUGGUAGAAUUCCAGGUGAAGCGGUGAAAUGCGUAGAGAUCUGGAGGAAUACCGAUGGCGAAGGCAGCCAUCUGGCCUAAUACUGACGCUGAGGUACGAAAGCAUGGGGAGCAAACAGG
rnacentral:rRNA from 1 species